rnacentral:rRNA from 3 species
UGGCGGCACUAGCGCGGUGGUCCCACCUGACCCCAUGCCGAACUCAGAAGUGAAACGCCGUAGCGCCGAUGGUAGUGUGGGGUCUCCCCAUGUGAGAGUAGGGAACUGCCAGGUA